rnacentral:rRNA from 1 species
UACGGGGGGGCAAGCGUUGUUCGGAAUUACUGGGCGUAAAGGGCUCGUAGGCGGCCAACUAAGUCAGACGUGAAAUCCCUCGGCUUAACCGGGGAACUGCGUCUGAUACUGGAUGGCUCGAGUUUGGGAGAGGGAUGCGGAAUUCCAGGUGUAGCGGUGAAAUGCGUAGAUAUCUGGAGGAACACCGGUGGCGAAGGCAGGUCUCUGGGCUGACACUGACGCUCAUGCACGAAAGCGUGGGGAGCAAACAGG